UGAGUGGGGGUGGGGGUGGGUGGCGAUGUUUCUAUUUUACUUAAUAUAUGUGGGGUUUGGUGUCAGCGUUGCUUGUGCAGGUUCUCUGCUGUUCACUUGUGUUCCUUUGGUGGUGAGAGAGGUUGGGGUUGGCCUAGGGUGUGGUUGUUCAUUUGUGCUUGGCUGUGGUGGUCUUUGUUUUCAUGUGUGAGUGGGGUGGGUGGGUGUUUUGGAUCGGGUCAGCCAUAUUGAUUUGUAUGCUGUUGGUGGAUUUUUGUCAUUGUCUUGUUGGGCUGUGU